AUAAAAUUAAUGUUUCAGUUUAUUUUUCAGAUUACAUGCCUUUCUUUAUAAGGGAUGCUGGCACAGACCCCCUAAAAUAAGCUUUUGGUAGUACUGUACCUUUGAAGAGUGGUGAAGGAUGCUAAUGGAUAAUCUCCUGAAAGUUGUGGCUUUUGAUACCCUUACUGUGGACUGUAGAGUUGCUAAACGUUGUUUAGCAAAUAAUGUUGCUUAGUUUCAAAUGACAUUUGACUUUCAUCACUAAAACAGCAAUGUACUCAGGGUUGUAAGCUUACUCAAAUAGACUUUCAAUAAGUCUUCAAUGUAUAUAUGAUAGUUUUUAGCCUAAUGUGAAUUUAAAUAAUCUUAAUAGUUUCCUAAAAGUCGAUCUGAAACUUGGGGUGGGAAAGGGGAGGUAGCAAUUUUUGAAGUAUUUUAGCCAUUUUUUUCAUUUAAAGAAACCACUUGUCCCCAUUUCCUCUUCUCCACUUUCUCAUAAUUUUGUUUUAAGAGGAACACUGGUUGUUUUUUAUACUUCUCCUAAUCUUUAAAAACUGCAUAUUGUUAAGACCCCAGUGUAUUUAAUAGGUAUUUUAUAAGCAUAGCCCAUUGGCUCAUGUUAGUGAAACCAUAAUCCUCUUUGCUUAGAACAUUAAACUCAUAAGAAGUACUACAAACCCCACCACUCUUUAUAGAUGUAUUGUACCACUAAUAUAAACAGCUAAAAAAUGGGGAAAUUGUAAUGUUACGCCUGUGCAAUUUUUAAGUGGCAUAUUAUGGCAGAUUAAAAUUUAGAUACUUGGCUUUUCUUGGGCAAGCCACUAAGUUGUGGCGGAAUGUUUUCUGGUGUUCUUGGACUGCAAUUAUGCACUAUUAAAGUAGUGGCCUGCUACAUAACUGCAUUUAGCCAGCAUUUCUGCAGUGCGUAACUGUGAGGAACGUAGUACCGCAAAUGGCAAUGGACAUUAGGACCCGGAUGUAGUAUUCCUGCUUGCUCCAAGAUUCUCAUUGCCGACUGCAUACAGGUAGGUAACAAGCAAUAUAAUCUAACUUGGUGACUUGUAUGUACUUUUAUUCCGUGGGCAUUCUGGCAUCACAUUUCUGACAAUGAAAUUACAGUGCAGCACCUAACACUUGUAUGGUAAAGCUUUUUUAAAAACAUGGGCUUCAUGAAAACACCAUUGUUACUAACUUGGGCUUAGAUGGGAAUCUAAUGUGAAUAGUUCAAGUUAUGGGACUUGUCUAAAUGUGUCUAUACUCUAAACCUGGGGGAAGGUGGUGUGGAACAUUGACUUGACUACAGUCGAAUACAUGUUGGGAAUCAUUCCCAAUCAUAAGACAUCGUCGUUUCUGUAGGAUGACUGCAUAUGUUCAGAGUAGCUUUUUGAAUUUGGUUCCCUUAGCUUUAGGGAUGUGAUGUUAUAGUCCAAAAUGUUUACAAGAAAACCUAAGUCUUCAAAAGCACAACUUUUGUUGCUUAGGACUUUGCAUCAACUGUUGUUCCAGACCUCACUUCAACUUCUUGGUCUCUGAACUGGUUUUAGCUAGCAUGCAUGAGAGACAGUUUUCAUGUAUAAUGUUUCUGCUCUGUAACUGGAAAGUGGUUUACUUUGCAUAAAUGCUGAUGAAAACUUCAUGACUAUGAGACUUUUCUUCUGUGUAUCAAGAAAAAGCUUGCUCGUUGGCAAGCAAUUCACAAGGUGGGGACAGACUUGUACUUUAACAUGUAGUCCAUUCAAGCAAACAACUUUGGACUCUACUGAUAGAUGAAAGAGCAAAUGAUGACUAGUUUAGCCUCUGCAUAUCAACAAUAUAAUGCAGAUCAAGUAUAAUGCUCAAUAUUAGUGACAUGAGUAUCACUAAAUUACAUAGAACCCUGAUGGGGUUUCCUGUGUCGUAAUCCAUUAAAUCGGUGGCCAGUGCUUGCUGCCGUGGUUUAGUGAUUGGGUGUUAGAAAUAAAAACUCAGGUCUAUUUCUUACCAGUCAGUAACAAUUUUUAGAGAAUGUACUUGGUAUAUAAUAUAUGGACUUCAGGAACUUUAUUGGGGUGGGGGGUUAAUUUUGCCUUACCCUGUUCACUUUCAGAUGAUUAGGCUUUUGCACUUUAGAAUGAGAAACUUGUGACGUUAGUGUGUUCUUACUAGCUUUAAUUUGUAUGUAGCAAUGAAUUGUGAAUCUUAGUGCAGUGGGUUUUUUUAAAAAACUCAAAAAGCUGGGAAUUAAGUGGUUUCAGUAAUAAUGCUAUACCGAGGUGCUUGCAUUGUAUUUCAUAAUUUUGUUACAAACCAAAAUUAUUUUUAAUGAGAACAGUCUUGGGUUCAGAGGUGUGAUGCCAGAAUGUAUUUUCGUACUGUUAGGCCCUUGGAACAGAUACCGGUGCUUUCUGAAAGAUGAAAGAAAUGCAAUGGGUGCUCUUCAUGCAAGGUUGCAAACCUACCAAGAAUGCAUAAUAGUCUCACUUUUCCCCAAUAAAGAGAUGCGUGUGACUAGUUUUGGACUUUUAACCUUAAUGGGGGUUGCAUGUCUCCUAUUGUUAAUCAUUGUCAGCUGCAGUGACAUGAUCCACAGUCCUGCAUUUACUGCCUUUCACUUAAUGAUUUUGGACAGGUUUUAGAGAGCCAGGAUGUUGGUCUGGGCCUUUAUUUGGUUUUGGCUUUAGCUGAUAAUGUUUUAGUGAUGUCAGCUAGUGCAGUUCUCAAAUGGCUGCCUAUUAGGGAAAGAAUUCAGAGGAUUUGACUGCUCCUAAUCAUCUGUCAUUGCUGCUAGAUAAUGAUUGGCAAUUUUUAAGACUCAACUGGAAAUCUCAACAGUUGCUGGUAAACCAUUAACCAUAAAAACGUUGCUUUUGAACACCAGUGCUGAAAAAAAUAUUUUUUUUUUUUUUUUUGAGAGUGAAAAGGGCUUGGACUUAAGAUAGGACAAUGUGGAGAAUGGGGGGAAGAAUGCAAAACGAUAUAGUAUCCCUUAUGGAUGGUACAUGUGCAACAGGGAACUCUUACUUCAUAUACCCUUUGCAGUAAUCAUUCAGGGAGGAAGAAAAACCUGGAACUUGAAUGAAGGCUGAUCUUUGUUUUGUGCACUGUGGCCCUGCCAGGCAUAUAGUGAAGGUGAAUGUCUUCUCCCUCAGAAAAAAAUUGGUUCCUUGCUGUCCCAGUAAGGCAUAGCUUUUCCAGCCCUAACUUUAAAACUCAGUGAGGACUUAGAUGGGAAAGAAUGAGGUAAAUACAAAGGAUUGCAGGACAACAACUACAGCGUUGUGUACUGUGGGAAGGGGAGUUGGGCACUCUUGGAGGACUCCUGCUGAAGGUGGUCAGCCUGCCUGACAAUGGAAGACAUACUUGAAUGGGGAGCAGGGUAUGUGCUUUCAUAUGAAAAAAGAGCUGAUGUUAAAACUCAUUUGGUGAGGUCAACGUUGUCACAUACCUUCACAUAAGGGAUAGUAUAUUUUGGGUUGCAGUCAAACUUGUGCUCAGACUGGUGAAACUGAGAGUCAGGCUUUUACAUUUUAAAGAAAAUACAGUUUUCAUUCUAAUUCAGGUGUCUACUUAUUUUAUGUAAGAAUAAUUUUAGAUUUCCCCCCCACCAUGAAGUUUCUUCCUAUUUUUUUAUGCUGUAACUUACCCCCAAUCUUUAUCUCUGGAUUUUUACUCUUUAAAUUUUGAAGUUGACUAGCAUUUUCAAACCUUUAUUUUAUACCCUUGUCUUUUAUAUUAACUUUUUCUUAUUAUUCUUUAGGUAAGAAUGAUUGAUGUUGGCUGAUAUUGGAGUGCUCAUUCACAUGAAAGGUGGAUAGAUACUUCUCAAGACAUCACACAGCGUGAGUCAAUCAAGGAGGGAAGCCACAAGCAGACUGACAACGUUUCUAGAGCAGGAUCAGGUGAGCUGUGUCCAGAAAACCAACGAGAAGGAGUGGAAGGAGGAAUGAACGUUUCAUUCUCGUUAAUAAAGGCAUUAUCCUAAUUA
rnacentral:lncRNA from 1 species